rnacentral:sRNA from 1 species
UUUUCGCAUGAGGGAUAAUAGCGGCAUCCUUUUGUGAAGCGCUAGCAGAACAAAAGAUACAGCGAAUAGCCCGACCCGAA